CACGUAGGCGGCCUGGUAAGUCAGAUGUGAAAGCCCGGGGCUUAACCCCGGAAGUGCAUUUGAUACUGUCAGGCUUGAGUAUGGGAGAGGGAAGUGGAAUUCCUGGUGUAGAGGUGAAAUUCGUAGAUAUCAGGAGGAACACCGGUGGCGAAGGCGACUUCCUGGACCAAUACUGGCGCUGAGGUGCGAAGGCGUGGGUAGCAAACA
rnacentral:rRNA from 1 species